rnacentral:rRNA from 1 species
ACGGCUCAGUAACACGUCAAUAAUCUGCUCUUAGGUCCGGGAUAACCUUGGUAAACUGAGGAUAAGACCGGAUAUGAAAAAUUAAUUGGAAAAUGAUUUUUCUUAAAGGCAACGCCUAAGAAUGAGUUGGCGGUGGAUUAGGUAGUUGGUGGUGUAAAGGACCACCAAGCCGACGAUCCAUAGGGGCCUUGAAAGAGGUAGCCUCGAGAAGGGCACUGAGAUACUGGCCCUAGCCCCACGGGGUGCAGCAGGCGCGAAAACUUUCCAAUGCACGCAAGUGUGAGAAGGGAACCCAAAGUGCUCAAGUUUUAACUUGGGCUUUUGCCAAAUGUAAAUAGUUUGGCGAAUAAGUGGUGGGUAAGACGGGUGCCAGCCGCCGCGGUAACACCUGCGCCACAAGUGGGAACCACAAUUAUUUGGCCUAAAGCGUCCGUAGCAGGUUAUGUAAAUCUUUUGUGGAAUCAUCAGGCUUAACUUGAUGGUGUGCAGGGGACACUGCAUGACUUGGAACCGGGAGGAGCUGGAAGUAUGCAAAGGGGAGCGGUAAAAUGCUAUAAUCCCUAGAGGACUACCUGUGGCGGAGGCGUCUGACUAGUACAGGUCUGACGGUGAGGGACGAAAGCCAGGGGAGCGAUCCGGAUUAGAUACCCGAGUAGUCCUGGCUGUAAACGCUGCGAGCUAGGUGUUGCAUAUUCUUUAUGAAUGUGCGGUGUCGAAAUGAAGAUGUUAAGCUCGCCGCCUGGGAAGUAUGGUCGCAAGGCUGAAACUUAAAGGAAUUGGCGGGGGAGCAC